rnacentral:rRNA from 1 species
AUGGAUCGGCAGCUGUUGAGGACGGUGAAGCAGGCGACCAAGAACCACGCCAGCCUCAUGUACCACCGUCUGGUAAGCCACAUCCCGCACCUCCUCGCCGUCACGCUGCUCGUCGCCGUGGCGCCGCAGCUGUCGACGCUGACGCCGGACAAGGCGCGGGCCCUUUGGAACACAGCGGUGAACGCUCCGGCGCUGGCCAUGGCGUGCUGGGCGGCGGCGCUGGCGGCGUACACGUACGCGUCGUCCCGCCCUCAGCCGGUGUACCUGCUGGACCUGGCCGGGUACAAGCCGCCGGCGGAGCUGGAGGCGUCGCGGGCCAAGACGAUCGUGCACUUCUGGCGGUGCGGGCGGUUCAGCGAGCAGAGCAUGGCGUUUCAGAAGCGGAUGCUGGAGCGGUCGGGGCUGGGCGAGGCGACGCACUUCCCGAUGUCGCUCAUCCGGCUCCCCGUGGAUAUGUGCGACCGGACGGCCAUGGAGGAGUCCCACGCCGUCAUCUUCGGCGUGGUGGACGAGGUCCUCCGCAAGACCGGCGUGGCCGCCGGCGACGUGGGCGUGCUCAUCUUCAACUCCAGCCUGCUCAGCCCGACGCCGUCCUUCACGUCGCUCAUCGUCAACCGGUACAAGUUCCGCGACGACAUCGUCACGCACAACCUCAGCGGCAUGGGGUGCAGCGCCGGCAUCAUCGCCAUCGACCUCGCAAAGCGCCUGCUCCAGGUACACCGGAACACGUACGCGCUGGUGGUGAGCACGGAGAACAUCACCCUCAACGCCUACAUGGGCAACAACCGCCCCAUGCUGGUCACCAACACGCUCUUCCGUGUCGGCGGCGCCGCCAUCCUCCUCACCAACCGGGCCGGCGACCGGGCGCGGUCCAAGUACCAGCUGAUCCACACGGUGCGCACCCACCGUGGGGCGCACGACCAGAGCUACGGUUGCGUCACCCAGGAGGAGGACGAGGUCGGCGAGGUCGGGGUGUCCCUCUCAAAGGAGCUCAUGGCGGUCGCCGGCGAGGCCCUUAAGACCAACAUCACCACCCUCGGCCCGCUCAUCCUCCCCAUGUCGGAGCAGCUCCGCUUCCUCGCCACCGUCGUGCUCAAGAAGGUCUUCCGCGCCCAGGUCAAGGCCUACCUCCCCGACUUCAAGCUCGCGCUCGAGCACUUCUGCAUCCACGCCGGCGGCAGGGGCGUCCUCGACGAGCUCGAGAACAGCCUGAAGCUCAGCCCCUGGCACAUGGAGCCUUCACGGAUGACGCUCUACAGGUUCGGCAACACCUCCAGCAGCUCGCUCUGGUACGAGCUCGCCUACUGCGAGGCCAAGCGGCGGAUCAAGAAGGGAGACCGCGUCUGGCAGAUCGCCUUUGGCUCCGGCUUCAAAUGCAACAGCGCCGUGUGGAGAGCGCUGCGUACCAUCGACGAUGCCGGUGAGAGCCCAUGGACCCAGGACAUCGAUGUCCUCCCCGUCGACGUGCCCAAGGUGGUGCCCAUCGACGAGACCUCUUACCAAGUCCCAAUCUAG